GCAGCGGCCGGCUCACCUCUAGCGACCGGGGCCGGUUCCGACCGGAUGUGACGUAUCCGGGAGCGACGAGUCGGCGCGGGCUCGAGGCCCCGGAUGCCUUCCGGGUCGUGGUUGGUCCGUGCCGUGGGACUGAGUCUUCUGCGCUUGUUGCCGGGACGACCCGCUCGGGGUUAGGGGCCCUGGUCGGGCCCAAACGCUCUGCGACCCCUGGGGGCAGUGGGACACGGGCUUAGCCGCUAGCAGGGCCGGAUCGCCAGCGGGCCGCCGGUGGUGGCGGGAGCCCAGGGUCAGGCGCCGCCUAUUCCCACCUUCCUUCGUUCGGCCGUGGACCCAGUGUCUAGUUCCACACUGUGGGAUAUCAGGGGGCUUGUCCGCUUUUCAAAACUUUUUGGCGCCAGCAGCAGGGUCUGAAGGCCUCACGGACAAGGAAUAGACAAUCAGAUGGCAUAAGUUGGGCAAAAUGGGGAGACAAUAAGCAAGUGCUGAGUCUAAGGAGACUUGCAUGUUCCGAAAGGCUGCUGGAAGAACUUGUCACGGCUGUAAUGGAAGCUGGUGGCCCCCAGAGUUACAGAGAGAGACAGAGCAUGAACGAAGGAGGGUCAGACAGAGGGAGACACAGAAUCCUAAACAGGCUCCAGGCUCUGAGCUGUCAGCACAGAGCCCGACGCGUGGCUCAAACUCACGGACUGCGAGAUCAUGACCUGAACCGAAGUCGGACGCUUAACCGACUGAGCCACCCAGGCUCCUCUGUAUUUUAAUUUUUCAAGUACAGAAUAACUUUAAUAAAAAUCUGUUAAUUUAAAAAGUAAAAAUAUAUUAAGUUUAAACUUA